rnacentral:rRNA from 1 species
CUCAGGAUGAACGCUGGCGGCGUGCCUAAUACAUGCAAGUCGAGCGAACAGACAAGGAGCUUGCUCCUUUGACGUUAGCGGCGGACGGGUGAGUAACACGUGGGUAACCUACCUAUAAGACUGGGAUAACUUCGGGAAACCGGAGCUAAUACCGGAUAAUAUUUCGAACCGCAUGGUUCGAUAGUGAAAGAUGGUUUUGCUAUCACUUAUAGAUGGACCCGCGCCGUAUUAGCUAGUUGGUAAGGUAACGGCUUACCAAGGCGACGAUACGUAGCCGACCUGAGAGGGUGAUCGGCCACACUGGAACUGAGACACGGUCCAGACUCCUACGGGAGGCAGCAGUAGGGAAUCUUCCGCAAUGGGCGAAAGCCUGACGGAGCAACGCCGCGUGAGUGAUGAAGGUCUUCGGAUCGUAAAACUCUGUUAUUAGGGAAGAACAUACGUGUAAGUAACUAUGCACGUCUUGACGGUACCUAAUCAGAAAGCCACGGCUAACUACGUGCCAGCAGCCGCGGUAAUACGUAGGUGGCAAGCGUUAUCCGGAAUUAUUGGGCGUAAAGCGCGCGUAGGCGGUUUUUUAAGUCUGAUGUGAAAGCCCACGGCUCAACCGUGGAGGGUCAUUGGAAACUGGAAAACUUGAGUGCAGAAGAGGAAAGUGGAAUUCCAUGUGUAGCGGUGAAAUGCGCAGAGAUAUGGAGGAACACCAGUGGCGAAGGCGACUUUCUGGUCUGUAACUGACGCUGAUGUGCGAAAGCGUGGGGAUCAAACAGGAUUAGAUACCCUGGUAGUCCACGCCGUAAACGAUGAGUGCUAAGUGUUAGGGGGUUUCCGCCCCUUAGUGCUGCAGCUAACGCAUUAAGCACUCCGCCUGGGGAGUACGACCGCAAGGUUGAAACUCAAAGGAAUUGACGGGGACCCGCACAAGCGGUGGAGCAUGUGGUUUAAUUCGAAGCAACGCGAAGAACCUUACCAAAUCUUGACAUCCUUUGACAACUCUAGAGAUAGAGCCUUCCCCUUCGGGGGACAAAGUGACAGGUGGUGCAUGGUUGUCGUCAGCUCGUGUCGUGAGAUGUUGGGUUAAGUCCCGCAACGAGCGCAACCCUUAAGCUUAGUUGCCAUCAUUAAGUUGGGCACUCUAAGUUGACUGCCGGUGACAAACCGGAGGAAGGUGGGGAUGACGUCAAAUCAUCAUGCCCCUUAUGAUUUGGGCUACACACGUGCUACAAUGGACAAUACAAAGGGCAGCGAAACCGCGAGGUCAAGCAAAUCCCAUAAAGUUGUUCUCAGUUCGGAUUGUAGUCUGCAACUCGACUACAUGAAGCUGGAAUCGCUAGUAAUCGUAGAUCAGCAUGCUACGGUGAAUACGUUCCCGGGUCUUGUACACACCGCCCGUCACACCACGAGAGUUUGUAACACCCGAAGCCGGUGGAGUAACCAUUUGGAGCUAGCCGUCGAAGGUGGGACAAAUGAUUGGGGUGAAGUCUAAC